GAGAGAAAAGAAGAAAGAAGAAAAAAAAAAAAAAAGAAGACAGAGGAAAGGGUAGAGCGGAGGAGAUGAACGACAAAGCUUGAAGCGCUCGUCAGCAACGGUGGGCCGAACGGUUGAGGAAGGGAGAACGUCGGCGGUUAUUUUCGAGGGAAGUUGGUGAGUCCUUGUGAAGAAGAAAGCAUGGAGUGUUGAGAGGAAAGAAAGAUCAAGAAGAAGGUGGGAAGAAGAGGCCGAAAAUUGAGGGGGCAUGACCUGACCCGACCCAACCCACCUGUUGAGAACUGAAAAUCAAUUUUUUUUCAUUUCACACCAUUUGAUUCGUCUUUAUUCAGAUUUAGGUACUUAACUCACACAUUCCAUAAUGCCUUAUUAUAGAAAAAUUUCAAGCUUAAUCAAGGGGACACUUGAAGACUGAUAAAGUUUUGGGAAGUCUACAAUCAGGAGAAAAGUAGAUCUGGGUAGGUGGCAGGGACGUGUGGAGUCGUGCAGCUGCAAAAGGGGGCCCUUAGAUUGAGUCAUCUUCUCCCAUGUCGUUUUGGUUAUGAUUUUGACGUUUUUAAAAAACCUGUGAUAUUUUGUAACCGUUUCUUUUUAUGUGACUCCGCGGAUUUUCGUUGUGU